AUAAUGGAGAGUUUGAUCCUGGCUCAGGACGAACGCUGGCGGCGUGCCUAAUACAUGCAAGUCGAGCGGAACCAUUGGAGCUUGCUCCUUUGGUUUAGCGGCGGACGGGUGAGUAACACGUGGGCAACCUGCCCUGCAGAUCGGGAUAACUCCGGGAAACCGGUGCUAAUACCGAAUAGUUUGCGGCCUCUCAUGAGGCUGUAC
rnacentral:rRNA from 1 species